GUAAGGAAUAUUGGACAAUGGACGCAAGUCUGAUCCAGCCUUGCCGCGUGAAGGAUUAAGGUCCUCUGGAUUGUAAACUUCUUUUAUAAGGGACGAAAAAAGGCUUUUCUAAGUCGUCUGACGGUACCUUAUGAAUAAGCACCGGCUAACUCCGUGCCAGCAGCCGCGGUAAUACGGAGGGUGCAAGCGUUAUCCGGAUUCACUGGGUUUAAAGGGUGCGUAGGCGGGCAGGUAAGUCAGUGGUGAAAUCCUAGAGCUUAACUCUAGAACUGCCAUUGAUACUAUCUGUCAUGAAUAUUGUGGAGGUAAGCGGAAUAUGUCAUGUAGCGGUGAAAUGCUUAGAUAUGACAUAGAACACCUAUUGCGAAGGCAGCUUACUACGCAUAUAUUGACGCUGAGGCACGAAAGCGUGGGGAUCAAACAGGAUUAGAUACCCUUGUAGUCC
rnacentral:rRNA from 1 species